AGUCCUGGACCUUGCAGUAUUCGUUCAAGAACAAGUAUUUUCACUGGAGGACCAGCAGGUUUCAGGCAGAGCAAAGAGCGUCUUUCAUCGAGUUGGUGAUUCUCCAGCUGCAGCUGUUGUUUGUCUCAGUGUGAUUCCCUGGGAAAAGCGCAUGGAGCACAGUGUCCUGUGCGACAGAACUGCUCGGGAUGAACCCCAGCAAAAAACACCGCAACUCUCUCCAGAACUUUGCAAAGGCAGAUUCCACAAGGAGGUGAACGACAUUGUCUUACGAUUCGAUGCAAAAAGCACCACACGGCGGAAGCACAGAGGAUGCUGAAGAUCCUGUUGCGGUCGAUGAUGCAGGGACAGUGGAUUCUCUAGUCAAGUGUUCCUUAGGUUCCGGAGUUGGUGUUGUCUCUGGAUCAAUAAUGAGCUCCUGGCUACAAAUAGCUGCAAAUCGAUCAAAGGUGAAAGUGACAGUGAACCAGACUGAACGGUCAGUGGCUGCAUAAAUCAGGACAGCAUGGAUAUUACACAGGGGGAUAGAGUCGACGAAAAUAAACUGAUCCAGGUAAACAAUCGGAAUGUGUUUCAUUGUUAGGUCAAGGAUAAUGACCAGUAGAUCUGGCGCUGCCAUGUCCACCAGGUAAUGAGUGACACAUUUGGAGAGACCA